GUAAACCUACGGGAGGCAGCAGUGGGGAAUAUUGGACAAUGGGGGGAACCCUGAUCCAGCGACGCCGCGUGAGUGAAGAAGUACUUCGGUAUGUAAAUCUCUAUCAGCAGGGAAGAAAAUGACGGUACCUGACUAAGAAGCCCCGGCUAACUACGUGCCAGCAGCCGCGGUAAUACGUAGGGGGCAAGCGUUAUCCGGAUUUACUGGGUGUAAAGGGAGCGUAGACGGUGCAGCAAGUCUGAUGUGAAAGGUCGGGGCCCAACCCCGGGACUGCAUUGGAAACUGUUGAACUGGCGUACAGGAGG
rnacentral:rRNA from 1 species